rnacentral:tRNA from 1 species
AAAUCUUAUAAAAAAUUUAAACUGCAAAUUUAAAAAAGAUAAUUUAUCUAAGAUUUU